rnacentral:rRNA from 1 species
GACGAACGCUGGCGGCGCGCCUAACACAUGCAAGUCGAACGAGCGAGAGAGAGCUUGCUUUCUCGAGCGAGUGGCGAACGGGUGAGUAACGCGUGAGGAACCUGCCUCAAAGAGGGGGACAACAGUUGGAAACGACUGCUAAUACCGCAUAAGCCCACGGGUCGGCAUCGACCAGAGGGAAAAGGAGCAAUCCGCUUUGAGAUGGCCUCGCGUCCGAUUAGCUAGUUGGUGAGGUAACGGCCCACCAAGGCAACGAUCGGUAGCCGGACUGAGAGGUUGAACGGCCACAUUGGGACUGAGACACGGCCCAGACUCCUACGGGAGGCAGCAGUGGGGAAUAUUGCACAAUGGGGGAAACCCUGAUGCAGCGACGCCGCGUGGAGGAAGAAGGUCUUCGGAUUGUAAACUCCUGUUGUUGAGGAAGAUAAUGACGGUACUCAACAAGGAAGUGA